rnacentral:rRNA from 1 species
AGUCAAGUAAUUAAGUGCAUGUGGUGGAUGCCUUGGCAGUCAGAGGCGAUGAAAGACGUGAUAGCCUGCGAAAAGCUCCGGGGAGGCGGCAAAUAUCCUUUGAUCCGGAGAUGUCUGAAUGGGGGAACCCACCUACUUUAAGGUAGGUAUUGCAACAUGAAUACAUAGUGUUGCAAGGCGAACGAGGGGAAGUGAAACAUCUCAGUACCCUUAGGAAAAGAAAUCAAUUGAGAUUCCCUCAGUAGCGGCGAGCGAACGGGGAUCAGCCCAUUAAGUUAUGUGUGUUUUAGUGGAACGCUCUGGGAAGUGCGAACGUAGAGGGUGAUAUUCCCGUACACGAAAGGGCACACAUAAUGAUGACGAGUAGGGCGAGGCACGUGAAACCUUGUCUGAAUAUGGGGGGACCAUCCUCCAAGGCUAAAUACUCCUGACUGACCGAUAGUGAACCAGUACCGUGAGGGAAAGGCGAAAAGAACCCCUGUGAGGGGAGUGAAAUAGAUCCUGAAACCGCAUGCAUACAAGCAGUGGGAGCACCUUCGUGGUGUGACUGCGUACCUUUUGUAUAAUGGGUCAGCGACUUAUAUUCAGUAGCAAGGUUAACCGUAUAGGGGAGCCGUAGAGAAAUCGAGUCUUAAUAGGGCGUUUAGUUGCUGGGUAUAGACCCGAAACCAGGCGAUCUAUCCAUGAGCAGGUUGAAGGUUGGGUAACACUAACUGGAGGACCGAACCCACUGUCGUUGAAAAGCCAGGGGAUGACUUGUGGAUAGGGGUGAAAGGCUAAUCAAGCCUGGUGAUAGCUGGUUCUCCCCGAAAGCUAUUUAGGUAGCGCCUCGGACGAAUACCAUAGGGGGUAGAGCACUGUUUCGGCUAGGGGGUCAUCCCGACUUACCAAACCGAUGCAAACUCCGAAUACCUAUGAGUACUAUCCGGGAGACAGACUGCGGGUGCUAACGUCCGUAGUCAAGAGGAAAACAAUCCAGACCGCCAGCUAAGGCCCCAAAAUCAUAGUUAAGUGGGAAACGAUGUGGGAAGGCAUAGACAGCUAGGAGGUUGGCUUAGAAGCAGCCACCCUUUAAAGAAAGCGUAAUAGCUCACUAGUCGAGUCGGCCUGCGCGGAAGAUGUAACGGGGCUAAAACUAUGUGCCGAAGCUGCGGAUUUGACAUUAGUCAAGUGGUAGGGGAGCGUUCUGUAAGCCGAUGAAGGUG